rnacentral:lncRNA from 1 species
GUCUUUUGAAGCAAAAUUGUCCUUAGCAUAUGCGCCAUGAAUCACCUGGGUAUCUUUAAAAAAUACUGAUACCUAGCUUCUGCCCUCAGACAUUCUGAUUUAAUUGAUCUGGACUGCAAUUUUAAAGCUCCUCUGGCAAUUGUAAUGUGUGACAAAGUUUGGAAACCACUGCAUUCGUAGCCAGGUGGUUCCUGGGGUCUGUGCCCAGGAACAGAUCUUGUUGACAGGCUUGUUGACAGGCUCUACUUCUUCCGAGGAACACAUCACCCCUUUGUAACAAUGCAAUUGGGGGGCAAAUUCAGAUCCAGCGAAUGUUUGUUGCACACCUGUUACAUGCCAUGCCUUGCACCGGUGCCUUCAUAUGUAUUAUCUGACGUAACCCUGUUUGGGCACCAGGAUACUAUUCUUGGCUUGUACCUGUUCUAAAGGCACAAAGCUGUCUCGUAAUAAACUGUCUAAUCUUUAUGUUCUGUGGCUUCCUGCCUCCAAGGUGUUCCGCAGACGGGAUGAUUGACAGGUACCACUGUGUUACAGAAGAGAGGAUGGUUUGAUGAGGUCACAGGUCACAACAGGAGAGUGGGCAGAAGCAAAGAUCUUGAGGCUCAUUCCAUCCACAUUGGACAAGGACACAGAAUGGGAAGCAGCUAGUUUUUUAUGAAAAGGGCAAAGAUCAAGCAUGUACAAGUAACAGACAUGGGUUUAGGAGCCAGACAAAUCUUCGUCUCAGAAUCAGCUCUGUCCCUUAUAAAAUGUGGGCCUGAGCAAAUUAUUAUCCUCCUGAGCCUCACUUUUCCCAUCUGCAUGGGGUUGUUUUGAGGAUAGGAUGAAGUAAUGCAUGUGAAGUCCCAAACAUGGUGUCUCGCUAUUUGUUUAGUCAUUCAGAAAUAUUUCUUGAAUGCUACACAGACAGGCAGUUUCUAAAGUCACGGAUACAGUGAUGAGCAAAAUAGACACGUAGAGCUUAGGGACAAAUAGAGCGAGAAAAAUUACAGAAAGUAUCAUUUGAGCUAAAACAGACACAAAGGAAAGCUUCCUGUAGCAAGUGAUGGGAGGCCAGGGGGGUGGGGGGCUGGAAGGAAGAACAGGAGUCAGCAGAGUGAACAGAGAAGGAUGAUGUUGGGUGGCAUGGAGCAUGUCCUGGGGAGGUCCCAGUUGGCAGUCAUGGCCCCGGCUUCCUGGGAUCCUGUGCAUCUAUAGAUCGAUAAACUCAAAGCAUAAGUUCUAUACUGAGCAGAAGAAUUUAUUUUCAGGCAAUAUAGGUUUGUCUUCCGAGAACGAUGCCAAAUAUGGAGACUAGUCUAGACCAAGAAAUUUGACCUCGAGAAAGACAGACUUCAGGUAGGGAGCGUAGCAGUGAUACCUUGGAACAGCAAGGCCCUGGCGCAGGUCACACAUCUCCUAGUCUAUGCACUGACUUAGGUGAGAACAGAUACUGGUCUUAUUUGACUUCAGAUGCUCAGAGCCUAGCACAGCGCCGUGCACUUAGGAGGUGUUCACUUGAUGUUGCUUGAUUGUUUAGUUUGUUGAAGCUUUGUUUGGUUGAUUGGUUGGGGGGGUUUUCGGACAGGUGGGUGGGAGAGAGAGCAUGUAAAGUGUCUAGAGCAGUGUCUGACCCCUGUGCAUAACCAAUUGUAAUUAUGCAUUUCUAUUAUCCUACAGCAUAAACGCCUUAAUUUUCAUAAACACUAGAACCGUUGUGUCUAUAAAUGCUUAGUCAUUUAACCUAUUUUAAUACUGCCCUUGGAACAGUGUUUUUCUCAUAAAGGAGAAAAAAAUAUAGCCAUUGUUUCACAUAUGUUUUGUCUGUGCAGAGAAGCUAAAAUAGAAAUGCAUUCUGGAUAAAGCCUUCUGCCAUAUGUAACCCUGCUGAGCAUUAAUCCUUUAAAGAAGACUUGCUGAUUUGGCAUAAACCUGAAUAAACAGAUGUGCUUGGUCCCCAGGGCCAUUAGCUUUUUCGCUUUGGGAGUGAAAGGGACUUUCACAGGCCAUGUCACCAAAACCUUGUUUUGGAUACUAUUGCUGAAAAACAAACCAUUUCAAAAGAGUCAUGCAAAAUAUCCAUUUGAAUGAUGGUUACAAGUUCAGUGGGUCAGGGUUAGGACAGGGUACAGUGGAGAUAACUUGCCUCUGCUCCAUGGUGUCCGGGGCCACAUCUUGGAAGACUCAAGGGCUGGAGGAAUGUGACGGCUGGGAACUGGAAUUGUCGGGAAACUCCUCUGUGGCCCCUGAGGUGGGAUGACUUGAACACUGAACUUCGCAGGACUGUCAGCCCCUGUCUACAUGGGUCCUUCCCCUAAACACAGCAGCCUCAGUUGAACUUGUGCAAGUUCACUCGUUGAACUUCUUAUAAGACAGCACCCAGCUCCAGUGUACCGGUUUCCAAGGACAAGGCAGAAGCCGCAUGGACUUUUAUGACCCAGCCCUCAGGAGUCCUAUCAUGCUACCAUCAUAUAUUCUUCUGGCUGAAGUAGACACAGGUCCAUCCAGCUUUUCUAGGAGGGAGCAUCUGCUCUUGAUAGGAGUGUAAGUGAGUUUUGCAGCCACUGUUAAAAUACCAUACCCCCAAUUCCUAGAAACUGCACCCUAGAACCCAGCAGAAGGAAAUCCUACCUUAAUGCAUUUCAUUAACCUUUGAGCCUCAUUUUAAUUGACAUGUCUUAUUUAGUGAGGGAAGAAUCAGAUCUCCAACCUCCCCUCAUACCUGGAAUGAGCCGGCAACAUGGUGGCAAGAAAACUCUUCACCCCCUCCCCCCCGAAUUCAUUGCUGCCCUUGGAUGACGCCAGUUUUGAGAGAAGAACCCUUGACACCAGCUUCCUGCUGGACCAGUUGACAGGAACAGAACCCAUGUUAGGAAGCCAGGGCCAUGCACUAUGACACCGAGUAACAGCCGGCCACCCCGUAUGCCCAGUGUACCCAGGGCAGUGACACACUCAAGCUUCCACCUGCCUCACACAUGCACUCCUUUUCCUUAGGAUCUUGACAGCUGAUUUUUGUGCUUUUGCUAGAGUGAAACAAUUUUCUGAAAGGACUCAGGGCAACAGGCAGAUGGGCAGUUUCCUGGGGAUUCAGAUCAUUUAAGACAUGUCAUUUGGGGCUAAGAGACUGUUUCUUAUCCACCAGGGAGUUUUGGAAAACAAGACAGGUAGAUGCAAGAACCUUGUGUCAGGGCUCAGAGAUCUUGAGACUUCAGACUAACUGGCACCAGGGAGCCGAGAGGUCAAGAUGUGGAAUCCUGGGAUUCAGAUGACACCCUGGGCUCUGUCCAGCCAGACAUCAGCACAACUCUAAGGGAGCCACAGGAAGCAGCAGUGCUGUGUCCCAUUCCCACUGGUGUACAAACCUUAGAAUGAGCGCCCAGAGAUGGUGCUUCCUGCCCGACCCGCCCGGAACCAAUAUCCCGCCCUUUAGGCCAUCAGCUGUGGCCAGUCCUUCUGUGCUGACUUUGCCUCAUGUUGCCUUGAAUGACGCAUCAUGUGGAAGAUAAAGGACCAUCUCCUGACAGUGCCCCCUGGGACCAGGCAGAACCAAUACCAGUCUUCUUACAUGGGCCUUGUCCAGGAUAUAGCAGGAACACUAGCUGAGCUUAUUUAAAGGGUAGUUGUUGCUAAUAAUAAUCAUAGCUAACCUCUUUGAGCCCUCGUUGUGUUUUGGUUACUGCAAACUAUAUGCUACGUGGCGUAUCUGUUUUAAUCCUCUGAGUGAGCCUGAGUUUAAGUCUCAAGUGUUAAUUUCCCAGACCUUAGUACUGCUCCAUCCUCACUGGCCAUACCUGGUUACAAUUAAGUUUAGAAAAGGCUGGUACUACUCGACAAUAAUAUAAAUGGUAAUUGUCCAGGAAAGGAGAUAGAUGUAGAAAGGAUAUGUGUAGAAAUUUAUGAACUUAUUUAAUCAUAAAACAACUGGGGGGGGGGUGACUGAUGUUUUAGAAACACCAGUUUGAAAGUUGAUUGGGUCACCAAAAAACAUGUUUCUGAGCUCAGUCUAAAAACCAUUUGGUAAGAACGGUAAGUCUAAACCAUCAUGGCGGGAUUUGGUGUUAACUGUUUUUGAGAACUGUUCCUUGUGAUAAACCCAGGAGGGCCUGGUGACUCCCCAAAGUAGCUGAUGGCUUGUUUUGGGAAAGGUGUCACCUGCUCCACAACUUUCCAAAAGAGUCCGCUGUAUCACAGGAGCGAGGAGCAUCCAUUCCUCCGCACAACCAGUCCAUAGGUGCCAGGUGAGGAAGCUGAGAGUGAAGGUUUUGAGCCCUUUUGGAUGUUCAUAGGCUGUCCUGCUGCUGUUCAGCCCAUUUGCCAAAAAUCUGGAAGGCACUUUCCUGAGAGCCAUGCUGAAGCCCAAGACCAAAGCUACCAAUAUAAGCUCUCAUUUCUUCCUUCGUUCUGUUUGUUUUUUUAUAAAUUCACAUCCUAAAAUCCCCCCUCUUACCUUGUCCCUUGUGAUAUCAUCAAAAUAUUUCAAGAGAUGAGCCUGCUUUUAUAGCAUUUACACACCUUCAAUGCAGCUCCUUAAGUGUUCUGCCACAUGCCUCUAAGAAAUGCCAUUUGUGGUAAAUAUACUUCCCAGCUUACUCUCAGCUCUCUGUUGAUUCUGCUUAAAUUUAUUUUUUUUGAGUGUGGAUGCAUUCUUAUCUUUUUUAUUUUUAUUUUUAUGAUUUUUUAAGUAUAGUUGAUUUACAAUAUUGUGUCAAUUUCUGCUGUACAGCAAAGUGACCAGUCAUAUAUACAUAUACAUAUAUAUAUAUAAAAUCUUCCAUCAUGUUCUAUCGAAAGUUUCCUGUGCCAUACAGUAGGAUGCUUGAAUUUAAAUGGCCGUGUGUGGCAGGUCAGAAAAGCGUUUUUUCCUCCAUAUCUCAAUCCUGAACUCGGUUGUCAACACCUUCCUAAGAUUAGGCCUUAUUUUGAAAGCAUCACCUGCAUAAUCAUUAAAGUUAAUGUAGUCACUAAAUUAUAUAUGCAUACCUACAUAUAAAAUGACACCAGACAUGGAUCUGAGCAAUUUACAGCUCACAACUUAAACUGCACAUUUAAUCGUCUGUGAGGCACUAUUAUUAACCACAUUUCACAUCUGAUGGAAAGAGAUAGAAAGAAGUGAAGUUCUUUGGUGAACGUUCUACUAGCUGGGAUGGGCGGGAGUGGGAAUUUGAAUCCAGACUCUUUACUCUUAACAAGGAUUUCUGAGCCAACAAAAUGCUUCUCCUAAUUUUUAGAAUUCAUCUGCCAUUUCUAUGACCAAGGGGUUGGAUAAGCACAAGGCAUUUUCAACUGAAGUAAUGUAUGGCCAGUUACCACGUAAUUUUCUUACACAAGUCUUCAGGAGACGACUGGAAAUUUUUGUUAUUGAUUAAAGUUUAAAAUGGAGCCAUAGGAGUUCCCGUCAUGGCUCAGUAGUUAGCGAACCCGACUAGCGUCCAUGAGAUGCUGGUUCAAUCCCUGGCCUCGCUCAGUGGGUUAAGGAUCCGGCGUUGCCGUGAGCUGUGGUGUAGGUCGCAGACACGGCUCGGAUCUGGCGUUGCUGUGGCUCUGGCGUAGGCCGGCAGCUGUAGCUCCGAUUAGACCCCUAGCCUGGGAACCUCCAUAUGCUGCCAGCGAGGCCCUAAAAAGACAAAACUAAAUAAAUAUAAAUAAAGUAAAAUGGAGCCAUAUUUCAUUUUUAUUAUGACUGAAGUGAAAAAAAUAAACCAGAAAACAUUUAAAUUAUUUCAAAUGGAAGCUGCUCUAUCCCAAGUCACAGCUGACAUAUUACAAAAUCCGAAGUCUCACAGGUCUAUUAUUAUACUUGUGAAGAUGUAAUUUUCUGGGUUUGAAUAAAUAUAUUUGGAGAAAAACCCAUACUAUACAAACUUGAUUUUAUUCCUUCUUCUUUUAUUUCCUGACUCUUACAAACAAUAAAGCACACAUUAGAAACAUAUUUUUAUUUGAAAACUUUUAUUUCUCUUGGCUCAAGGUCAAAAAUCUUCAACAGUUUAGUCUUACUUGUGUUUUUUUCAUGAAGUAGCAGUCUCUCUUGCAUUUUGACAAGAUUUUCAUUUCUAUCAAGAGAGGCUGUAAAGUAGCAUGUUCAUUUAGGCCCCCCAGAGGGUGGAUCCUUUCUUCAGACCUGCUAGGUUAAGAGUUUUUGUUUC